UUAAUGAGGAAGAAAGGCAUCAAUGUGUCGAGGUGGAAUUGUGACACAGUGCCUCAUUCACACCAGCCUGACGGCACAUCCUGUGGUGUUUUUGCAAUUAUGUUUGCAGAGAAAGUAUUGGGGCAGGAAAACCUCUCAUUUUCAGCUACUCAUACAGAUGUGGAAAAUUAUCGGUGGCAGAUUGCCACAAGUCUUAUUAGAAACUCUGAUGACCUGACAGACCUCUGUCAUCAAUGUGGGAGGGCCAGUGUGGAUGACUGCACAGAUGAGAAGCUGACAUGG